UACCCGCAGCACAAGUGGUGGUCAUUAUUAUUGGGCCUAAAGCGUCCGUAGCUGGCCUGUUAGAUGCCUGGGUAAAUCGAUGCGCUCAACGUAUCGAAUUCCGGGUAGACCGGCAGGCUCGGGACCGGGAGAGGCGUGAGCUACUCGGGGGGUAGGGGUAAAAUCCUGUAAUCCUCCGGGGAGGACCAGUGGCGAAGGCGUCACGCUAGAACGGCUCCGACAGUGAGGGACGAAGCCCUGGGGCGCAAACCGG
rnacentral:rRNA from 1 species